rnacentral:rRNA from 1 species
GACAGAGGGGGCAAGCGUUGCUCGGAAUUACUGGGCGUAAAGGGCGCGUAGGCGGAAUGGCAAGUCGGUCGUGAAAUCCUUCGGCUCAACCGAAGAACGUCGAUCGAAACUGCCGUUCUUGAGGAUUGCAGAGGAGACUGGAAUUCCCGGUGUAGCGGUGAAAUGCGCAGAUAUCAGGAGGAACACCGGUGGCGAAGGCGGAUCUCUGGGCCAUUACUGACGCUGAGGAGCGAAAGCGUGGGGAGCGAACAGG